UACGAAGGGGGCUAGCGUUGCUCGGAAUUACUGGGCGUAAAGGGCGCGUAGGCGGCCCUGUUAGUCAGGCGUGAAAUUCCUGGGCUCAACCUGGGGACUGCGCUUGAUACGGCAGAGCUAGAGGAUGGAAGAGGCUCGCGGAAUUCCCAGUGUAGAGGUGAAAUUCGUAGAUAUUGGGAAGAACACCGGUGGCGAAGGCGGCGAGCUGGUCCAUUACUGACGCUGAGGCGCGACAGCGUGGGGAGCAAACAGG
rnacentral:rRNA from 1 species